rnacentral:rRNA from 1 species
AUUGAACGCUGGCGGCAUGCCUUACACAUGCAAGUCGAACGGUAACAGGUCUUCGGAUGCUGACGAGUGGCGAACGGGUGAGUAAUACAUCGGAACGUGCCUAGUAGUGGGGGAUAACUACUCGAAAGAGUGGCUAAUACCGCAUGAGAUCUACGGAUGAAAGCAGGGGGUCGCAAGACCUUGUGCUACUAGAGCGGCCGAUGGCAGAUUAGGUAGUUGGUGGGAUAAAAGCUUACCAAGCCGACGAUCUGUACGUGGUCUGAGAGGACGAUCAGCCAGACUGGGACGGAGACACGGCCAAGACUCCUACGGGAGGCAGCAGUGGGGAGUUUUGGACAAUGGGCGAAAGCCUGAUCCAGCAAUGCCGCGUGCAGGAUGAAGGCCUUCGGGUUGUAAACUGCUUUUGUACGGAACGAAAAGCCCCGGGUUAAUACCCUGGGGUCAUGACGGUACCGUAAGAAUAAGCACCGGCUAACUACGUGCCAGCCGCCGCAGUAA